rnacentral:rRNA from 1 species
UACGUAGGGUGCAAGCGUUGUUCGGAAUCAUUGGGCGUAGAGCGCGUGUAGGUGGUUAAGUAAGUCAGAUGUGAAAGCCCUCGGCUCAACCGGGGAAGUGCAUCUGAAACUACUCAGCUAGAGGACGGUAGAGGAAGGUGGAAUUCCUAGUGUAGAGGUGAAAUUCGUAGAUAUUAGGAGGAAUACCGGCGGCGAAGGCGGCCUUCUGGGCCGUUCCUGACACUGAGACGCGAAAGCGUGGGGAGCAAACAGG